UUGAACGCUGGCGGCAGGCCUAACACAUGCAAGUCGAGCGGUAGCACAGAGAGCUUGCUCUCGGGUGACGAGCGGCGGACGGGUGAGUAAUGUCUGGGAAACUGCCUGAUGGAGGGGGAUAACUACUGGAAACGGUAGCUAAUACCGCAUAAUGUCGCAAGACCAAAGUGGGGGACCUUCGGGCCUCAUGCCAUCAGAUGUGCCCAGAUGGGAUUAGCUAGUAGGUGGGGUAACGGCUCACCUAGGCGACGAUCCCUAGCUGGUCUGAGAGGACGACCAGCCACACUGGAACUGAGACACGGUCCAGACUCCUACGGGAGGCAGCAGUGGGGAAUAUUGCACAAUGGGCGCAAGCCUGAUGCAGCCAUGCCGCGUGUGUGAAGAAGGCCUUCGGGUUGUAAAGCACUUUCAGCGGGGAGGAAGGCGUUAAGGUUAAUAACCUUGGCGAUUGACGUUACCCGCAGAAGAAGCACCGGCUAACUCCGUGCCAGCAGCCGCGGUAAUACGGAGGGUGCAAGCGUUAAUCGGAAUUACUGGGCGUAAAGCGCACGCAGGCGGUCUGUCAAGUCGGAUGUGAAAUCCCCGGGCUCAACCUGGGAACUGCAUUCGAAACUGGCAGGCUAGAGUCUUGUAGAGGGGGGUAGAAUUCCAGGUGUAGCGGUGAAAUGCGUAGAGAUCUGGAGGAAUACCGGUGGCGAAGGCGGCCCCCUGGACAAAGACUGACGCUCAGGUGCGAAAGCGUGGGGAGCAAACAGGAUUAGAUACCCUGGUAGUCCACGCCGUAAACGAUGUCGAUUUGGAGGUUGUGCCCUUGAGGCGUGGCUUCCGGAGCUAACGCGUUAAAUCGACCGCCUGGGGAGUACGGCCGCAAGGUUAAAACUCAAAUGAAUUGACGGGGGCCCGCACAAGCGGUGGAGCAUGUGGUUUAAUUCGAUGCAACGCGAAGAACCUUACCUGGUCUUGACAUCCACAGAACUUUCCAGAGAUGGAUUGGUGCCUUCGGGAACUGUGAGACAGGUGCUGCAUGGCUGUCGUCAGCUCGUGUUGUGAAAUGUUGGGUUAAGUCCCGCAACGAGCGCAACCCUUAUCCUUUGUUGCCAGCGGUUCGGCCGGGAACUCAAAGGAGACUGCCAGUGAUAAACUGGAGGAAGGUGGGGAUGACGUCAAGUCAUCAUGGCCCUUACGACCAGGGCUACACACGUGCUACAAUGGCAUAUACAAAGAGAAGCGACCUCGCGAGAGCAAGCGGACCUCAUAAAGUAUGUCGUAGUCCGGAUUGGAGUCUGCAACUCGACUCCAUGAAGUCGGAAUCGCUAGUAAUCGUAGAUCAGAAUGCUACGGUGAAUACGUUCCCGGGCCUUGUACACACCGCCCGUCACACCAUGGGAGUGGGUUGCAAAAGAAGUAGGUAGCUUAACCUUCGGGAGGGCGCUUACCACUUUGUGAUUCAUGACUGGGGUG
rnacentral:rRNA from 1 species